rnacentral:rRNA from 1 species
ACUCCUACGGGAGGCAGCAGUGAGGAAUAUUGGUCAAUGGGCGAGAGCCUGAACCAGCCAAGUAGCGUGCAGGAUGACGGCCCUAUGGGUUGUAAACUGCUUUUGUAUGGGGAUAAAGUCAAUCACGUGUGAUUGUUUGCAGGUACCAUACGAAUAAGGACCGGCUAAUUCCGUGCCAGCAGCCGCGGUAAUACGGAAGGUCCAGGCGUUAUCCGGAUUUAUUGGGUUUAAAGGGAGCGUAGGCCGUGGAUUAAGCGUGUUGUGAAAUGUAGACGCUCAACGUCUGAAUUGCAGCGCGAACUGGUUCACUUGAGUAUGCACAACGUAGGCGGAAUUCGUCGUGUAGCGGUGAAAUGCUUAGAUAUGACGAAGAACUCCGAUUGCGAAGGCAGCUGACGGGAGCGCAACUGACGCUUAAGCUCGAAGGUGCGGGUAUCGAACAGGAUUAGAUACCCUGGUAGUCCGCACAGUAAACGAUGGAUGCCCGCUGUUGGUACCUGGUAUCAGCGGCUAAGCGAAAGCAUUAAGCAUCCCACCUGGGGAGUACGCCGGCAACGGUGAAACUCAAAGGAAUUGACGGGGGCCCGCACAAGCGGAGGAACAUGUGGUUUAAUUCGAUGAUACGCGAGGAACCUUACCCGGGCUUGAAUUGCAGAGGAAGGAUUUAGAGAUAAUGACGCCCUUCGGGGUCUCUGUGAAGGUGCUGCAUGGUUGUCGUCAGCUCGUGCCGUGAGGUGUCGGCUUAAGUGCCAUAACGAGCGCAACCCCUGUCUUUAGUUGCCAUCAGGUGAUGCUGGGCACUCUGGAGAUACUGCCACCGUAAGGUGUGAGGAAGGUGGGGAUGACGUCAAAUCAGCACGGCCCUUACGUCCGGGGCUACACACGUGUUACAAUGGGGGGUACAGCGAGUUGGAUGCCCGCAAGGUCAUUCUAAUCAAUAAAGCCUCCCUCAGUUCGGACUGGGGUCUGCAACCCGACCCCACGAAGCUGGAUUCGCUAGUAAUCGCGCAUCAGCCAUGGCGCGGUGAAUACGUUCCCGGGCCUUGUACACACCGCCCGUCAAGCCAUGAAAGCCGGGGGUGCCUGAAGUCCGUGACCGGAAGGAUCGGCCUAGGGCAAAACUGGUAAUUGGGGCUAAGUCGUAACAAGGUAGCCGUACCGGAAGGUGCGGCUG